rnacentral:lncRNA from 1 species
UUGGGUAUGUGCCCAGUAACAGGAUUGCUGGGCCAAAUGGUAGUUCUGCUUUAAGUUAUUUGAGAAAUCUCUAAACUGCUUUCCACAGGGACUGAACUAAUUUAAAUUCCCAUGAGCAAUGUAUAAAUGUUCCAUUUCUCUACAGUCUCACCAGUAUCUAUUAUGUUUUGACUUUUCAAUGACAGCCAUCCUGACUGGUGUAAGAUAGUAUCUUGAUUUGUAUUUCUCUGAGGAUU